UACGAAGGGGGCUAGCGUUGCUCGGAAUCACUGGGCGUAAAGGGUGCGUAGGCGGGUCUUUAAGUCAGGGGUGAAAUCCUGGAGCUCAACUCCAGAACUGCCUUUGAUACUGAAGAUCUUGAGUUCGGGAGAGGUGAGUGGAACCGCGAGUGUAGAGGUGAAAUUCGUAGAUAUUCGCAAGAACACCAGUGGCGAAGGCGGCUCACUGGCCCGAUACUGACGCUGAGGCACGAAAGCGUGGGGAGCAAACAGG
rnacentral:rRNA from 1 species